rnacentral:rRNA from 1 species
GGAAUAUUGCACAAUGGGGGAAACCCUGAUGCAGCGAUGCCGCGUGGAGGAAGAAGGUUUUCGGAUUGUAAACUCCUUUUGUCAGGGAAGAUAAUGACUGUACCUGACGAAUAAGCUCCGGCUAACUACGUGCCAGCAGCCGCGGUAAUACGUAGGGAGCGAGCGUUGUCCGGAAUUACUGGGUGUAAAGGGAGCGUAGGCGGGAUGGUAAGUCAGGUGUGAAAUGUAUGGGCUCAACCUGUAAAUUGCACUUGAAGCUGCUGUUCUUGAGUGAAGUAGAGGUAAGCGGAAUUCCCGGUGUAGCGGUGAAAUGCGUAGAUAUCGGGAGGAACAUCGGUGGCGAAGGCGGCUUACUGGGCUUUUACUGACGCUGAGGCUCGAAAGCGUGGGGAGCAAACA